UAAGACGAACCGUACGAACGUUAUUCGGAAUUACUGGGCUUAAAGGGUGCGUAGGCGGCGCAGUAAGUUGGGUGUGAAAUCCCUCGGCUUAACCGAGGAAUUGCGCCCAAAACUACUGUGCUCGAGGGAGAUAGAGGUGAGCGGAACUUAGGGUGGAGCGGUGAAAUGCGUUGAUAUCCUAAGGAACACCGGUGGCGAAAGCGGCUCACUGGAUCUCUUCUGACGCUGAGGCACGAAAGCUAGGGUAGCAAACGGGAUUAGAUACCCCGGUAGUCCUAGCCGUAAACGAUGAGCACUGGAUCGAAGGGUCCUCCAUAGCCUUUCGGUCGCAGCGAAAGUGUUAAGUGCUCCGCCUGGGGAGUAUGGUCGCAAGGCUG
rnacentral:rRNA from 1 species